rnacentral:tRNA from 1 species
GGAGAGAUGGCUCAGUGGUGAAGAGCACUGACUGCUCUUCUAGAGGUCUUGAGUUCAAUUCCCAGCAACUACA